rnacentral:tRNA from 1 species
UCCCAGCUGGCUCAGUGGUAAAGAAUUUGCCUGUAAUACAGAAGAACCCAGGGUCAAUCCCUGGGUCAGGAA